AACGAACGCUGGCGGCAUGCCUAACACAUGCAAGUCGAACGAAGUCUUCGGACUUAGUGGCGCACGGGUGCGUAACGCGUGGGAAUCUGCCCUUGGGUGCGGAAUAACUUCUCGAAAGGGAUGCUAAUACCGCAUAAUGUCGUAAGACCAAAGAUUUAUCGCCCAAGGAUGAGCCCGCGUAAGAUUAGCUAGUUGGUGGGGUAAAAGCCUACCAAGGCGACGAUCUUUAGCUGGUCUGAGAGGAUGAUCAGCCACACUGGGACUGAGACACGGCCCAGACUCCUACGGGAGGCAGCAGUGGGGAAUAUUGGACAAUGGGCGAAAGCCUGAUCCAGCAAUGCCGCGUGAGUGAUGAAGGCCCUAGGGUUGUAAAGCUCUUUUACCAGGGAUGAUAAUGACAGUACCUGGAGAAUAAGCUCCGGCUAACUCCGUGCCAGCAGCCGCGGUAAUGUGACUACUG
rnacentral:rRNA from 1 species